CCUGUUUUAUCAAAAACAUAGCCCCUUGAAUAAAUAAGGGGUCAAGCCUGCCCAAUGGAAAAAUCUAAAUGGCCGCGGUAUCUUGACCGUGCAAAGGUAGCAUAAUCAUUUGUCUCUUAAAUGGGGACCUGUAUGAAUGGCCCAACAUUUUCUAACUGUCUCUUUUCUUCUUCCCUUAAACUUCUAAUAACGUGAAGAAGCGUUAAUUAAAAAGAAAGACGAGAAGACCCUGUCGAACUUAAACUUCUAGAGGAAAAACAAAUCUCUGACUCAAAGAAAUCUCAUCUUUCCAGAAGUUUUGGUUGGGGCAACCAUGGAGAAAAAACACCCUCCAGAAAAAUAAAAGAUAUAUUUAUCAUUUAAUAUGUAAACAAAAAACCAUUAAACAAUGAAAACAGAAAAAGUUACCGCAGGGAUAACAGCGUCAUCUCCUUUAAGAGUUCAUAUUGACAAGGAGGAUUGCGACCUCGAUGUUGGAUUGGGGCUACCAAAGGGUGCAGCAGCUCUUUAGGUUGGACUGUUCGUCCAAUAAUCCCCUACGUGAUCUGAGUUCAGACCGGA
rnacentral:rRNA from 1 species